rnacentral:rRNA from 1 species
CGGCGGACGGGUGAGUAACGCGUGGGUAACCUGCCUCAUACAGGGGGAUAACAGUUGGAAACGGCUGCUAAUACCGCAUAAGCGCACAGUACCGCAUGGUACGGUGUGAAAAACUCCGGUGGUAUGAGAUGGACCCGCGUCUGAUUAGGUAGUUGGUGGGGUAACGGCCUACCAAGCCGACGAUCAGUAGCCGACCUGAGAGGGUGAUCGGCCACAUUGGGACUGAGACACGGCCCAG